ACUAUUUAAAGUGCUUAUGUCACAAAAACUUUUUUUUGAUAUUUGGUAGAGGACAAAAAGUUAGUUAAUAGGUUCUUUAACAUUUUUCGGUUUUCUAUUUUUAUUCGCGAGAUACGAGGCUCUAAACAGCGAUUUUCGUAAAAUUGUCGCGUAUCAACAAGAGUCUGGGACGAGCGUGGUGUGACGUAGCUUAAGGAACUUAAUUUCGACGCGCAUUAUACAUUUGAUAUAUUUUCCAGCAUGUCAGACAGUAGGUCGGAUUCGGAAAGCACUCAUAGUUCUCAAUGUGACUCAGAAUACAAUUAUAUUGCUGGAUAUAUUAUAGAGGAUGAAUGAAAUGAUACUAGUCACAAAAUCGGAACUCUAGAAGCAGUUGAUAGCGAAAUUUUAGGCGAUUAUGAUGCAUGCCUUUAUGCCGAUGAACCGCUAGCAGGCGAAGAAUGGUACGCACGAUAU